UCUGCGCAGGCGCGAGGGCCACCGCUCGCUCUGGAUUGGACAGCCAAGCCAGUUCCGUCGUUUCUCGCGGGACAUAGGCGGCCGGAUAUGGAUGGCGUGCACAGGAAGCCAGCAUCCUGAGUCAGGUAAUAAUGUGCUGUGAAAACCUAGUAAAUGGAGUUGGAAGUUGGAGACUGGAACAGAAGAAGAAGGACGAUUAAGAUGCACCUAAAAGGGAAUGCUUGAAGUUAAAACUCAAAGAUAAAAGUGACCAAAUGAAUCCUUUGAGGUAGAGUUUUAUGAGCAGAAAGGAAAACAAGUGUAACCUCCCCCACAAAGGUGAAAAUAAGUGUUCAAGAAUCCAAGAAGGAUCCCUGAAAAGUGAAAAAACAGAAGAUAUUCACAGUGCCUAAGAGCUGAGAGAACAGUCAGGCAAUUGCCUACCACACAAGCAUGAGGAUCUGAAUUCUGUCUCCAGAACUCAUGUAAGGGGAAGAGGUGGCCCAGUUUAUAAUCCCAGCACCGAGAAAGGGGAAGCAGAUAAUUGUAGUCUCACAUCAGGGAAACAUCUCUUUGCAACUGGUGGAGACAAUUAGAGAAAACCACAACCAAUCAAAAUGCAGAAUAAUGAGGCCCAGUCUCAAUGGAUACAUCUACAAUACAACUCCAUCACCUAAAACUCAGGAAACAUUGUGGAAGAGUGGGUGGAAAGAUUGCAGAGCUAACAUGAAAGGGAGAAAUCCCAGGAGGCCUCAGCCCUACAGAAAGAACUACAGGUAGCUAAAUAAGACUGAAAUCUGAAGAAACUGCUUUCCCCUGGAAAGAGCACACUAAAUUGGUUAUUCAAUACUAAAAAUGGUCACCCCUGAAAACAUACAAAUGACGUUAUACAAACUGGGCAGGUUGUACUUACGUAUUUAAGUGUGUGUGUGUGUGUAUUUAUAUACAUAUGUAACAACAAUGAAAAAAGGCAAUGAAUUUGAAAAAGAGCAAGAAGAAGUAUAGGGGAGGGUUUGGAAGCAGGAAAGGGAAGGAUUUUAUCUAAUUUUUGUUUUAUCUGAAAUUAUCUAAUCACAUUACUCUCCAAAGUAAAAAAAAAAAAUAAAAAAAUAAAAGUUUUUAAAAAGAAGGCCUCCUGAGGGUCUGGAGGACCAAGGUUCUGUUUUAAGCAUCUACAUGGUAAAUCACAACCUUCUAUAACUCCAGUUGUAAGAGAUCUGAUGCACUCUUCUGGCCUCCGAAGGCACCAGGCACACAAGUGAUGCACAGCCAUAUGUGCAGGCAAAAAUACAUAAAAUUAAAAAAAAUUAAGGCCUUCUAUUAUGCCACAUUGCAUAAUCCCAAGAAGUGUCUACAACAAAAUAAAGCAUAACCACACAAAAUGAGUUCAGUGCAAAAAUAUGGCCGGUAUGUGAUUAUCACAUUACUGGAAAGUAACAGAGAUAGAUAAGGUAGACAGGUAGCCUCAAACUACACUGUAAGUCAGUCUUUCCAGCUUGGGAACAGGUUGCUCAUUUCUCUUAUAAAGAAAAAACAGUCUAGUAUUGACUUAGUCAUGUGGUUGUUAGUAGUCACUCUUAUGCAGAUCUAUAAUGAAAAAGAGCAAUCUAGACAAAGAAAAGUGAAAAUGUGCAGUUCGAGGAGAAAAGGAGCACCAGGAAGUGUUUUGUUAGAGCCAAGUCCUGUGAUCAAAAAGACAAAAAGUUUAAAGAAAAGCCUGAUUCUAGCUGGGCGGUGGUGGUGCAUACCUUUAAUUCCAGCACUCGGGAGGCAGAGGCAGGCCAGCAGAUUUCUGUGAGUUCAAGGCCAGCCUGGUCAGCAGAGCGAGUUCCAGGACAGGCUCCAAAUGCUACACAGAGAAACUUUGUCUCAAAAAACAAAAACAAACAAGAAAAGAAAAGAAAAAAGCUUGAUUCUAAAUGGAAUAAAGGGAGUUUUGGCCUCAGGGGAAAGCCCCACCGGACCAAGCUUCCAACUCCUGAAAGUAAUUAAAGAAAAGCUUAAGCAGUAAAGGAAACCAUUAAAAAGAGAAAGCUCUUGCAAAUGCAGUUGAAGGAGGAGGCCAAGUUCCAGCCCUAUCAAUCAGUGGAACUUGGCAGCUUCAGGGAGAGACUGGAAUAGUGGGAGCAUUUAGGUGGUUCUGGCUUUAUAGUCAAGGAUACAAGAGAGGGAUUGUGGAGUUUCCCUUUGUAGCUAAGGGAAGCUGGCCAGGCCAGGUCAGGGGUGUCUCAGCAUGGAGGCCAAGAGAGGAUAUGUAUAAAAACUGUGAGGGUGAAUCCUGGAUUAUGUUGUAGACCCCAAGAUAUGUGAUGCCAGAAUCAUGGGAUACCUGUCAAGGAAAGUUGCAGACUGGGUAUGGAACCAGCACAGGAGAGAAAAAUAUGUUGCAGUCAACAAAGCUGAAAGGAUUUGGAGAUCUGAAGCACCCUUUGACAUCAGACAUGGAGAUGCAGAAUUUGGAGUUUGCCUUACUGAGUUUUAGCCUUGCUUUGGUCUAGUAUUUCCUCACUAUGCUUCUUUCCUUCAUUUUUGAAUAGUAAUGUAUAUUCUGUGCCACUGUAUGUUAGAAGUAUACAAUCUGCUUUUUUUUGGUUUUGAU